GGUAAGGCACCGGUUUUUGAUACCGGCAUUCCCUGGUUCGAAUCCAGGUACCCCAGCCA
rnacentral:tRNA from 1 species